GGUAGGGUGGCUGAACAAUAAGCAUUAGACUGUAAAUCUAAGGAUAUAGGUUAUAUUCCUUUCUCUACCA
rnacentral:tRNA from 1 species